rnacentral:rRNA from 1 species
UACAGAGGUCUCAAGCGUUGUUCGGAUUCAUUGGGCGUAAAGGGUGCGUAGGUGGCGGGGUAAGUCAGGUGUGAAAUCUCGGGAGCUAACCUCGAAACUGCAUUGAUACUGCCUGCUGAGGACUGGAGAGGAGACUGGAAUUUACGGUGUAGCGUGAAAUGCGUAGAUAUCGUAAGGAAGACCAGUGGCGAAGGCGGGUCUCUGGACAGUUCCUGACGCUGAGGCACGAAGGCCAGGGGAGCAAACGGG